AAACACAGAAGAAUCCCUGAUCAUUGCAAGACUGCGGCGCCCAGGUGAAGUCAAGUGUUGACUGCUCUGUAACCUAUCCCAUGCGCAGAUGCUGUUUCGAGCCUUGAUCAGCCAAAUAUUCAGUGCUGCAAAAGCCAUUGGAGAAAGAUCAGUCUGUCUGACAACAUCAUUCUUUGCAGCGUGGUGGAUUUUGAAUAGAGGCUGGCGGCUCUGUUGUGAGAAGCAGCAGCUCCCGAACAAUGGAGGAUAAGCAUCAGAAGCACCUUGGGAAAACCUCUGAUUUCAAAGUGCUGUGGUGUGAAUAUGAAUUUUAACUAGCAAGAAGAAAAAAAGAGUAUCUCCUUUUAGAAAGCUGAGUUCAACCCUAUUGAAACACAAGGGCUGGAGGAACUGAUAAGUACUUGGGACACAAUACAAAACAAGUCAACGGAAAAGUUCCUGCUAACUUCAAUAGUCGUCGACUCAGGUUUUCUAAAGCUAUGUUUUUCAAGCACUUAUGGACACGAAUCUUCCCAAGCAUGAGAAGCUAACAUAAUUGUUGAACAGUUUAGGUAUUUAUGUGGAUAAUUUGGCAACCCUGAGGAAGGGAAGAUGCAGCACUGGCAAAAAAGAUUGGCCACGCUAAAAGCAACCCCAGAGGGAGGAUCAGUGCCCAGCGCCCCGAAAGCUUGAAAGCAGAGAUGCUGGCGGGAAGCUACCGAGAGCCGUCAGGCUCUGAUGCCUUUGGGUGUCCAGGGGAGGCUCGAACUUGCCUGCAGGAGUGCUAGGUGUUGUGCUCGUGUCCGAAAGGCCUUGGGCUGCUGCCUGCAGCUCAAAGUGUGGGGCCGCUGGCUGACCUUGCGGAGGCUGCUGCGUUAUUUCUGGACCCUUUUUCCGCGAGGCUGAAUUUUAAGCAGAACCGGGGAUUCUGCAGCUUUGAUUAUUUCCCUGGAUAGAUCUUUCCCUUUCUAUUGUUUAAAAUAAAUAAAUAAAUGUUAGGGGAAGAGAUCUGAAAGAUUUACAUUUGCAAGGAGGGUUAAACGGUGGUUGCCAAGCACAGCUGGAGCGUGUCUCAUGUGCUGCAUCUCUGAGCCUGGCCUCCACGGGCUCGUACACAAAGCACUGCUUGCGCACAGCUUCAUGGCUAAGCUAGGGGAAAUAACCAAGAGGAAGAGAUGAGCUACAUAAAGAGUUAUCUUCAGAAGUUCCCUGAAUAAAGGCAAAACAAAUACUGUGUGCUUCUGAAGCAAUAGAGUGUGUGUGGGGGGGUUUCUUGGAGCUGAGUGAGGCUGCAAGAAGGACUGGUGACCACGUGUCCACUGCUGGCCCCUAGUCCUGCACUGGCCCAGGAAGAUGGUGCCGCGUUUUGCCCGUGUGGCUUUUGGUGUCUGGCGGGGAGCGCUUCUAGGGUCACGCAGGCUGGAAGGACUGUGUUUUGUUUCAGCUUCCUUUCGCAGAGCUCAUUUCCUAAGUUUUGUGCAACUCUAUUUUUCACCCAGGAUAAAAGGCAGGUUAAAAUCUAGCUGCAGUGUCCGUCCUUGCACGUAGAGCCUUCGUUUCAGAAUGGGGUCUCUAAAUAUUUAUAGGUUUGGGUUCUAAACUUGAUGUAUAUUUGACCUUCAUACAUAUUUCAGUUCUGGUCCACUCUUUGCAUUGAAUGUAAGCACCUUCUAGCUAUGUUCAAAUACACUAUUUUAGCUGAAAGGGUUGGACAUAAGGGAAAUUCAUGGGGAAAAGGGGGUAAGAGUAACAAAAUACCUGUGCAUUCAUAUAGUUCAUGUAAAUAUAAAUAUGUAGCCUUAGAUAUAUUUGUUGCACUGAAAUUAUAUCCUUAAUGCAGUAGUUUCAACCUUAAUUCAGCCUGUGAGGCUCUAAAAAGAUUCUGUGGCUAUAAGGACCUCUUUAUAUUGAAGCCUGUUAGUAGUAAGCUUACUUUUCUUGCCUUUUUGGGACCUUUUAUCACCUUAAAAGCAAUCCGUAGAUUUGCAGGGGUCCACAGACCAUAGUGACUUAUUGACAGCUACUGCACUAAUGUGCUUAUGGACAGGGAGAAACACAGGGGUGCCAGCUCUGUCCUCACAGACUGGCUCCUCCUGAGCAUCCAGCAUCUGCACCGUUUUUGUGAAAGUAAAGUUGACAGAUAUACCUAUGGGGGAGACGUACCAUGCUAUGUGUUGGCUGCCUCUGGAACAAAAUUUUGCAGGUGAAAAAUCCCUGUAUUGCAUCAUCAGACUGCAAGCAUAUAAUAUUACUAGCUAGGAGCUGUUGAAUUUUAAAUGAAAGGUUUACUUCUCUGUGAUUUGUACCACUGCAUGCUAAUGCAGGAAAUGGUAUCUACUGAACCUCUAAGUAAUGUAUAUGAUGCAUCAUUUUUUUCCAUGUCCAGCAAAAAAGCAGCUGUCAAAAAUUUCAAUUUUCUGUUUUAAUGCCUUCAAAUAACCUUUGCAAAUGCUAAUUUCCUUGUACAGCAUUCUCCAGCAGUUUUAGUUAGGGCAAUGUAAGCAGCAUGGAUUUUGCAGUUUUGCUUUUUUUUUGAAGCACCUCAGCUAGGGUUUUUUUUCAUAAUUAUUGUGUUUUUAAAUUGAUAUCAGAUUUCGCAAGCAUAUUAUUCUAACCACAGUAGCAACUUUCAGUUUGCAUAUUGAAUAACAGUCCUUUCACGUUAUUCAGAACUGGUUUGUAUCUGGUGAACUUCUAAUAUUUUUUUCCUUAGAUUCUGACAGUUAUGUAAUUAUCUUGUUAACACGGAUCAUUUGAUUUUAUAUCAGCUUAAACUGUAGUCUCAAUGAGGGUUCAUUUUUGCAGUAUGCUGUGUUGACAGCAAGGUAUGGAGAACUUGAAUGGAUAUAUAUCUUAUUAAAUGCAGAUUUCAUUAGCAUAUUAUGUUAAUACUCUUUUAAGUUCAAUAAAUUUGUGUGGCACACUUAAAAAGCUAUAAGCUUCUCCAUAAAGGUUUGGAUAAACAUUUUGAAGCUUUAUCUUGGUGUUCAUUAGUGUGCAUACAGAUUUUUGCUUUUGGCAGUGGCCGUCUGCGGCAGGGUGUUUCCUCACCUGCGGUGCAGCUGGUGGUAGAUUAUCCUCCAGCAUUGCCUAUGGUUGUUGGGCUUGGGGUGGUGGUCUUUGCCCAUACGUGCGUUACGAAAAUACCGCACGUUCUUUGGCAAUAAUCCAUUUUGUUUAGGAUCAGAAUGCUUAAGGAGAGCAAUUAUAUCUUUUCCUUAAUAAAAUUCUCUAAGUAAAAAGAAA